rnacentral:rRNA from 1 species
UACAGAGGUCUCAAGCGUUGUUCGGAUUCAUUGGGCGUAAAGGGUGCGUAGGCGGCGCGGUAAGUCGGGUGUGAAAUCUCGAGGCUUAACUCCGAAACUGCAUUCGAUACUGCCGUGCUUGAGGACUGGAGAGGAGACUGGAAUUUACGGUGUAGCGGUGAAAUGCGUAGAUAUCAGGAGGAACACCGAUGGCGAAGGCAGUGUUCUGGGCCAGUACUGACGCUGAGGAGCGAAAGCGUGGGGAGCAAACAGG